CAUUUUUCAGGCGAAAACAGUCAUCAAUCUUGCACCUGAGGUUUGAUGUUGAUUUUCUCCGCUGCAUGCUCAUUGAGCCACUUCAUGUCAAUCUCACAGUCAAAGUGUCCAAUGUUGCAGACAAUAGCAUCAUCCUUCAUCUGCUCAAAGUGUCUGUGAGAAAAAAACAAAACAUGAUGUUUACACUACCUGACCAACAUUUCCAGUCGAGGAACGAUUUCAACCAGCUUUUGGCACAAAAUUCUGUUCACAAGCAAGUAAAAGCUGAAACAAAUCACUAAAAAAAAAUAACAAUUAUCUAGAACAAUGGUCAACCAACAUUAAAUAAAUUAGUGAUGUUUGCCUUGGCAUUUUGAACAAACCGCUAACCGUAAUAUUAUAUUUGACAAGUAACUCAUCCGGAAUCUUUUAUUCCUCAGCCAAUGAAUGACGCCUCAAAUCAUGCGGCUUUUUGAGGAGAGGUGGGCAAUUAUGUUUCUAAG